rnacentral:rRNA from 1 species
UACGGGGGGGGCAAGCGUUGUUCGGAAUUACUGGGCGUAAAGGGCGCGUAGGCGGUUCGCUAAGUUGAAUGUGAAAACUCUGGGCCUAACCCAGAGCCUGCAUUCAAUACUGGCGGGCUAGAGUUCUGGAGGGGAUAGCGGAAUUCCUGGUGUAGCGGUGAAAUGCGUAGAUAUCAGGAGGAACACCGGUGGCGAAGGCGGCUAUCUGGACAGAGUCUGACGCUGAGGCGCGAAAGCUAGGGGAGCAAACAGG